UCUGGGUAUUCUUUAGGGUUUUCGGGACUACUGUUGACUUGGGCUUAUCAUACUGUGGUCAUUUGGCAUGACCAGCUAGGUUAAGCUUGCAUAGGUGUAACCUCCAGGACAACCUCUUGACUCCAUUUGAAUUCUCAGGGAGGUUUUUGACUUGAACUUCUGUCCCAGCCUCACCCGUCUCAACUGCCACACCUCUGGACUUGAACCUGUUAAUCAUGGGCAGUGCCAGAUAUCUCUGCAGGGAAGAGGUUCUGAUUUACACUCAAAUCAACAGCACUGCUAUUUGUUCCAGUGAGGAUCCCUGAGGAUUACGCCAGCCCCUCCCAGAGUACGUUCUGUGCCGAGCAGGCUGUUCAAGACAGAUUGAGCACCGGUUUGGGGCACCGCGGAACACUGCUUCCCCAUUCCGUUUCCAAUGUACAGUCUGAAGGUCUCCAUCCCUCACCUCCAGCUUUCACCCCUAGGCCUGGCUGAUCACUGGAGUUUCCAAAGGAGAGGUGAGAAAAUUCAUAAUUGAAAGAGGAAUAAAAUUCUUUUUACCUUAGAAUGAAUGCCCCUAAAUGCCCACGUAUACUGGACAUUUGUCAGGGAUUUUAGGCAGCAAAACAUAUGAAUCCAUUUUCAAUUUGGGAGAUUCCCUAUCCCUUGAGUCUUGAAUGGAGGGAGUACCCCCACUUCCACAACUGAAGUUGAAGGCUUGGGUAGGAACCAGCCUAGGAGAACUGGACUCGGCCAGUCAGACUGAGGCUUUUGCAGGAGUGAUGCACAGUCACUGGAACAGUUAGAGAUGAUUUGUGUUAGUGCAAAUUGAGGGCCUAGCAUGUACUUUGCCUCCUCUUUUCAAGCCUGAUUUUCCAGUCUUCCCAGAGAUUCCCAGUCCUUACUGAAGUCCUGCCAAUAAAUCCUUUUUCU